rfam:Schistosoma rodhaini strain Burundi genome assembly, scaffold: SROB_scaffold0000833
AGCCCUCUGUAUCUGUGCUGAGGUUUCGUCACACACCAGACCACAAGGGCUGAUGAGACUUUCAAGAUACGUGGAGCG